rnacentral:tRNA from 1 species
GGAUGAGUGAUGAAAUUGGUAAACAUGCAAAGCUCAAACCUUUGUGUCUGAAUGAUUUGGGAGUUCAAGUCUCCCCUCAUCCA